rnacentral:rRNA from 1 species
GUGGGGAAUAUUGCACAAUGGGCGCAAGCCUGAUGCAGCAACGCCGCGUGAGGGAUGACGGCCUUCGGGUUGUAAACCUCUUUUAGUAGGGAAGAAGCGAAAGUGACGGUACCUGCAGAAAAAGCACCGGCUAACUACGUGCCAGCAGCCGCGGUAAUACGUAGGGUGCAAGCGUUGUCCGGAAUUAUUGGGCGUAAAGAGCUCGUAGGCGGCUUGUCGCGUCUGCUGUGAAAUCCCGGGGCUCAACCCCGGGCCUGCAGUGGGUACGGGCAGGCUAGAGUGCGGUAGGGGAGAUUGGAAUUCCCGGUGUAGCGGUGGAAUGCGCAGAUAUCAGGAGGAACACCGAUGGCGAAGGCAGAUCUCUGGGCCGCUACUGACGCUGAGGAGCGAAAGCAUGGGGAGCGAACAGGAUUAGAUACCCGGGUAGUCC